AUGAAGGAAGGGACAUCGCAUUCCAGAACAAGAUCCGCCAUCCCGUCUCAAGAGAACAUCCAAAACAUUAACGUGCGCAUCAAUGGCGCCUCCUCGCGCGUUCGCUUGUACGACAAAAAAAUACAUCCAUCAAGCUCCCAUCGCUCGUCCCCGUCUUUAAUGUGUCGAAGUAAAAAAAAAUUAGCGAUGGAUCCCUUCCUUCCCUUGGAAGGUAGCCUCUACUUUUCUUUUGGCCCACAUCGUCACAUCAGCUCUCGCACGCAACCUCCAAAGCCUCCGCCGCCGCCGCCGCCGCCGCCUCAGCCAUUUCUCUCGUCUUCUCCUCCCUGUUCCCCUGCCCUAGCCUAUCUCUAGCACUCCGCCUCUCCCUUUCUUCCUCGAGUACGGCAGCGGAAGGGGGGCCGCGACGGGAGAGAGGUUCUCCGCCCCCGACAGACGACGUCACCGCCUCCGACCUUGGCCUCGUCUGCAGCAGCAGGGACCUCUGCCCGUGUGUCUCUGUCUCGCUGCUCAUCCUCCGGGAGGGGACUCGGAAGGAGGGUCAUGCUCCUGGUUGGGAUCUCCGUGCUCCCGCUCCUGCACCUCCAUCUGCGUUCGAUCUCGUCACUGGUGAGUAGUGCUCUGCUCAGCGUGGGGAUGACCUAUGAGAUUCUUAGUUUGAAAUCUGAUGUGAAUCUCCUAAAAACCGAUGCAAAUCUGUCUUGAGAACAUAACCUUCGAAUCACGGAUCCUUGGAGAUUUUCUGAAGCUUUAGUCCCAAGCCAGGAAAUGGCUAGCUGGCUAUGUUAAUCAUCGCUCUGAGGAAAUCAAAAUCUUCUGUGGGAAUGGCCACUCUGAAUGUUCUGAACCAUCCCUUGAUGUUGUCUCUAGGUCCGUCCAGGCCCUGCCGUCCACUUGCCGACUUCUUCUUGGCGCAAUGGGUGGGGUACGUUGGUCUGUGUUGGUCUCCAGUUUUGGUCUUGUUGUAGAGGUCUUCGACGGCGGUUGUGACGCGGUUCGGUUGCUCUGUGGCUUGCCCCAUCGCCAUCGGCAUGACGUUGGCCUAGGUGAAGCAAGUAUUUUAGUACGCGUGGUGGGUGUGUUUGCUAAUUCCUGUGAUUGGCAUUGUAAUAGCUGAAAGGCGUUGUAUCCGGCUUCUUUGCCGCUUAUUCUUUAAUAUAUGAUACAUAUGCUCAUGCGUAUUCAAGAAAAAUGUUCUGAACCAUCCCUACCCAUAUAAAGAAAUUGUGGGAGCGGGACGGCGGGAUCUGCUCCGUCCGGUGCGGGACGCGCUACUGUCGCUCAUGCAGCAGAACGGCGUCGACCUGAUCUUCUGGAGGGCAGAGUCGAACCAGAACAUGUAUCAAGGGACCAUGACAUAUCUAGCAUCGGUAUGUGAAGAUGGCAAGAUCUGGUCAUGGCAUCUGACUUUUGACAAGUCAGUAUCUUCCAAGAAAAUUAAUCCUGCUCGGCCUCUUCGCGUGGUUCGUUGAGUGAUGGGUCGUGCCAUUGUCUAACUGGGUGCCCCUCGCGGCCGCCGUCUGGGCGAUGAUUCAGUAUGGGGUUGUAGAAGAUUUGAACAAAAGAUGGAAGCACCUUAUACUGAACACAACAGUACAGGCCUUGGGAGGGGUUGAACAAACUUUUGAUUGAAGUUUGGCCCAACUACAUGGAACCGAAACUAUCAAGGAAGUUUCGUGCUUGGAUGCAACUCAGUAGUUGGUAGUUCAAAAGGUUUCACAAAUAACAUUAGAUUAUACUAUAUGCAUCUGAUCCAUGGAAGUUGAUUAUGUAGAAUCAAAUCAUUUCAAAAUUCCUUUUGAUUCUGUUGAUUUGAGGUAGACGGUACACCUGCUGCAGUGGACUUCGUCGUCUCAUCAGCAUGCUCGCCCGCGACAGUACACCUGCUGCAGCUCCGGUGAGACGCUGGAACUCAUGGCGGCGCUCAUGGCGGUGUGCCUCAUACUGUACCUCAACUAACAUAUUGAUCUUCUACUUCUUUGCUAAUCAAACUGGGAAUCAUACUAUUCUCUUUCUGUCCUGUAAGCCCCACUAAUCACUAGGUCUCAUUACUCUUUCUAUCCGACGUGGCAUGCGAGAGCGAAGGAUAGAGGUGGCCACGAAAUACCCAACAAAUGCACUUGUCGAUCGUCUUGCUCUUAUUAGCUUGAUACUGCACUGUCGGCCCUGAAUCCUUGGAUAUUGGGAAGUUUGAAGAAGCAUGUGGUGUAGAUGAUGCCCAUCGACGCUGCUACCUCCGGAAGGUCACGGAUGAGGCCACCCGAGCUGGACAACGGGGCGUCUUUGGAUGUGGAGGAGGUCCGACCAGAGGAGCGGCAUGUACUUCCCUUGGUUUGAAUACUAUGGUCAGAUUUUUUUCCCGAGAAUCCACAAGUUGUGCUGGUCUUGAAGAAUGUAUUAAGUUCAUUGCAAACUUAAAGUUCAGAGAUGAUAUGCAAGGGCGCCGCCUCUCCCUCACCGUCCAUCGUCACUAGACACGACGUCGUGAGCAGCACUUGCUAUAAUAUAUAUAUAUAUAUAUAUAUAUAUAUAUAUAUAUAUAUAUA
rnacentral:rRNA from 1 species